rnacentral:rRNA from 1 species
GAUGAACGCUGACAGAAUGCUUAACACAUGCAAGUCAACUUGAACUUCGGUUUGGGUGGCGGACGGGUGAGUAACGCGUAAAGAACUUGCCUCACAGAUAGGGACAACAUUUGGAAACGAAUGCUAAUACCUGAUAUUAUGAUUAUAUGGCAUCGUAUAAUUAUGAAAGCUAUAUGCGCUGUGAGAGAGCUUUGCGUCCCAUUAGCUAGUUGGAGGGGUAACGGCUCACCAAGGCGAUGAUGGGUAGCCGGCCUGAGAGGGUGGUCAGCCACACGGGAACUGAGACAAGGGACAGAGUCAUAAGGGAGGCAGCAGUGGGGAAUGUUGGACAAUGGGGGAAAGCCUGAUAAAGAAAUACAGCGUGAGUGAAGAAGGUCUGUGGGUUGUAAAAAGCGGUUGGUGGGAAAGAAAAGAAGGAGGAUAAUAACCCGCUGGUAUGACGGUACCGAAAGAAUAGGCAAGGGCUAACUUCGUG